AAUCAACGCUGGCGGCGUGCCUAACACAUGCAAGUCGAACGCGAAAGUGGAGCAAUCCAUGAGUAGAGUGGCAAACGGGUGAGUAACACGUGGGUGACCUGCCUUCGAGUGGGGAUAACGUCCCGAAAGGGACGCUAAUACCGCAUAACAUCCUGCCUUUGAAGAGGCGGAAAUCAAAGCUGGGGAUCGCAAGACCUAGCGCUUGAAGAGGGGCCCGCGUCCGAUUAGCUAGUUGGUGGGGUAAUGGCUCACCAAGGCAACGAUCGGUAGCCGGCCUGAGAGGGCGGACGGCCACACUGGGACUGAGACACGGCCCAGACUCCUACGGGAGGCAGCAGUGGGGAAUUGUUCGCAAUGGGCGCAAGCCUGACGACGCAACGCCGCGUGGAGGAUGAAGAUCUUCGGGUCGUAAACUCCUUUCGACCGAGACGAAUGGCCCCCGGGUUAAUACUCCGGGGAGUGACGGUACCGAGAGAAGAAGCCCGGCUAACUCCGUGCCAGCAGCCGCCGUAAC
rnacentral:rRNA from 1 species